AGUGAACGCUGGCGGUAGGCCUAACACAUGCAAGUCGAACGGCAGCACAGUAAGAGCUUGCUCUUACGGGUGGGGAGUGGCGGACGGGUGAGGAAUACAUCGGAAUCUACUUUUUCGUGGGGGAUAACGUAGGGAAACUUACGCUAAUACCGCAUACGACCUACGGGUGAAAGCAGGGGAUCUUCGGACCUUGCGCGAUUGAAUGAGCCGAUGUCGGAUUAGCUAGUUGGCGGGGUAAAGGCCCACCAAGGCGACGAUCCGAAGCUGGUCUGAGAGGAUGAUCAGCCACACUGGAACUGAGACCCGGUCCAGACUCCUACGGGAGGCAGCAGUGGGGAAUAUUGGACAAUGGGCGCAAGCCUGAUCCAGCCAUACCGCGUGGGUGAAGAAGGCCUUCGGGUUGUAAAGCCCUUUUGUUGGGAAAGAAAAGCAGCAGGUUAAUACCCCGCUGUUCUGACGGUACCCAAAGAAUAAGCACCGGCUAACUUCGUG
rnacentral:rRNA from 1 species